GUUACAGAGAAUUCACAGCGUCCUAAAACUGAGUUUCUAUGUUGAUCAUUAUGUACACCAGCUGCAUUUGGUUCCUCCUUUUGAUCACUGGAACUGGAAUUGAUGCUAGCCCUUGUACGAAAGUAAUUAAAAACGUAGAACCUUACGAGGUCGUAGAGUGCACAAGUCGCAUUUGGGGAAAAUGUACUCACUAUGCUACGUUAUGGCGAUAUCGCGUGUCCUAUAGACGGACAUGUUGUGCCGGAUAUGGAGGUUAUAACUGUC